AAGCUUGCCUGAUCUCUAUUUCUACAGAGAUCCUGAAGAGAUUGAAAAAGAAGAGCAGGCUGCUGCUGCAAACGCGGUGACCAAGGAGGAAUUUCAGGGUGAAUGGACUGCUUCAGCUCCUGAGUUCACUGCUACUCAGCCUGAGGUUACAAACUGGUCUGAAGGCAUGAAGGUGUCCUCUGUGACUAUUCAGCAGUUCCCUACUGAAGACUGGAGCUCUCAGCCUGCCAUGGAAGACCGGUCUGCAGCUCCCACUGCUCAGGCCACUGAAUGGGUAGAAGCAACCACUGAAUGGUCUUAA
rnacentral:lncRNA from 1 species